UGCCAUCAACUGGGCCGGCGGACUACACCACGCCAAGAAGUGCGAGGCCUCCGACUUCUGCUACAUCAACGACAUUGUCCUCGACAUCCUUGAGCUCCUUAAGUACCACAGGAAGCUCCAUCGACAUGAGGACGUUCUCACAAGGCGGCGACGAGCUUUUUGUUAGCCUUGUUGUAGCUCCUGACAUCUGUAAGCACACAUCAAAAUCUCUCCUUUCCUCUUGUUUUUAUCAGAAUCAAAAGGUUUCAGAACAACAAAUUCCGAAAAGUAAUCUAAGAGGUUCGUGAAGAUCAUAGUCAUUGCUACAACUUUGGGCAUCCUUUUGUUCUUGAUCGUGUCUGUGUUCAUUUGGUGGAGAAGGAAAAGAAUCAAAAGUAUGUAUGCUCAACCACUCAUGUUAAAUAUUGCCGACUAGGUGUAUGAUGAAAUGUCCUUAUGAGUUAUACUUGUUGAUUGGUAUUUAUUUUUCACAUUUAACUACUACAUUUAGAUGUAAGUUUGUUCAAUGACACAUACUCAUUUGCAACACAAAGCAAAGUCAUCGAGGUGAACAAGAAAAAAAACAUCACCUGGCAAAGUGACAAAGAUCACAAAUUUGGCAGUGAUGUCUACCCUAUAUACUUCCAGCAGGGAGGUCUCAUAUGAGGUGCCAAGCUUUGAGCGAGCAAGAAUAUCUCAUUGUUUGGAUGAGGACAGCUGCCUUGCCAUAGUUUAGAAAACUCUAUGGGAGAAUUGAGAGAGACCUCGCAGCCAAUGAACAAAUCUCAAUGAUAAUAGAGAACAACUACAACACUUACAAUUUUGAAGUG